CUUCUCGAAACCUCCAACAAUGAAGAAGCUGGUCACUCUGAUGCUCGUCUACAUGCUUUUCUCCGAAGCUUUACAGGCUUCUGCAGCUCUGAAGUGUUGCAAGGGUUUUGGGCCAGCAUGUUUGCCUGUGGAGUGUUCUAGAUUCGCUGCAUGACCAAAACCGAGGGAAUUAUGAGCACACUGAAACUUCCUGAAAAAAAAUGUUCAACCAGGGCUGAGUGUGUUGUGACACUAAUAUGUGUAACAGUGCUGAGGGGGUUAAGCUGAGUCUCCUCAUCAUGCUGGUCCCUCUGAUCUCCUCCAUCCUCUUCAUCUGAACUCUCUGCUACUCCUCUCUCAGAGAUUCAACUCUAACAGGUGUAACAGAAAUAGUGCAAAUAUACUGUCUGGAAACAAUUACAUAAUUUUACUACAUUUAUCAGCUGUACUCUCAGAUAAAAUGUGAUAAAUGUAAUAGAUUAGAAUAGAUUAUACUGUAACUUCUGUAAUGUCUGCGUAUCAGUAAACAGUGUGAAGAGCCUUAGAG